GAUGAACGCUGGCGGCGUGCCUAACACAUGCAAGUCGAACGGGUGUGGUAUCAGGGAAAAGGGGUUUACUUCUUUGACCAGAUAACACACUAGUGGCGGACGGGUGAGUAACGCGUGGAUAACCUGCCUUAUACAGGGGGAUAACAGGGAGAAAUUCUUGCUAAUACCCCAUAGGUAUGUCUGACGCAUGUUGGACAUAUUAAAGCUUUGGCGGUAUAAGAUGGGUCCGCGUCUGAUUAGCUAGUUGGUGGGGUAAAGGCCCACCAAGGCGACGAUCAGUAGCCGGCUUGAGAGAGUGGACGGCCACAUUGGGACUGAGACACGGCCCAAACUCCUACGGGAGGCAGCAGUGGGGAAUAUUGCACAAUGGGGGAAACCCUGAUGCAGCGACGCCGCGUGAAGGAAGAAGGUCUUCGGAUCGUAAACUUCUAUCAGCAGGGAAGAAGGAAGUGACAGUACCUGAGUAAGAAGCCCCGGUAACUACGUGCCAGCAGCCGCGGUAAUCAUA
rnacentral:rRNA from 1 species